GCCCAUUUUAUUCCAGGGACAACAUGAAAAAGAGUGAAGACCUGGGUGUACUGGUGGCUGUGUGCACACAGCGCGACAAACGUGCUGCUUUCACAAGCUCUCACAGCUCAGCUUGCCUCUGCCUCCUGCAAGGCUGGCUCCUACCUGCUGCAAACGAGCAAAGCUUCGUCUGUGUCGUGUCCCUGGGAUGCUGCACAGCACCAAGUGGCACCAGGCACUGCCUCCCCCCCUUCCCAGGCCUUUGCCACCCAGGCCUGCACCAUCCCCAAAGCUGGCUCCACACAGUGCUGCGCUGGGACAGGGCUCCGGAGCAUCCUGCCCUUUCCCUGGGGUACUCAUCCGGCCAGCUGGGAGGCCUCUGCCUCCCUGCAGUGCUCCCGUUGGCUCUGACCUCCUGGCUGGAGUGGCACUGGGGCCCCACAGUCAGUGAAAUACUGCCUGCUUGCAGGAUUUGAACAAAAUCAGUGGAGUUAGUGGUAGAAUCAGGCUAGGUAAAGGCAUGGAGGCGUCGGGUCCCUCACUCAGCUGGCUGCAGCCCUCCACCUGCACAUGCACACACACACACAUUUUUUCUUCUCCCUGCAAGCACAUCUCCUCUCCCGCACACACGUGCUGUCUUCUCUCCCACGCACUUUCUCUUUCCCCAGCUCUCAGCCACCCACGGUUUCACCGUUUCCCCCCUCUGUCUGUCACACCCAAGGAAAACCCUCCCGUUUACUUGCGGCUGAUAACCGCUCUGUCGGGACGCAUUUCACAGAACCAGUGGGAGCAGAGCACAGAGGCAGCCGCCCCCCCACCACGGCACCGACCCCUACAAUAAAAGCCGCCAGGUGAAUCCCCACGGGAGAGGCAGCGCCCCUGGCAGUGAGGGCUGAGGAAAGCUCACCCAGCCUCCUGGGGAGGAGUAGCACUUAAACGGGUCAACACUGAAGACGCAGCUCCGUUCAGGAGGUCCUCACAACCCUUUGUUCAAUUUUCCAGCAUGUCAGAACCCCAUCUGCUGGGUGACACUCCUUCCAUACAAACGCACCAACUUCCAGAGGCAACAACAUGAUGACCCCGUUGUUCUGGCACUGAGACGAGAGCAGAGACUUUAGGGUUCAUUCCCAAAGUUUCCACAGAUUCCCUGCAGGACCACAGGCGAGCCACUUCAUCACCGCGCCUCUCGGUUGUCUGUCAGCAUCCUCGGGUCUGCAGGGCACGGGCUGGCUGUCACCGGGUCACCGGGCAGCGGCAGCACAGCUGGCCCUGUGCUGUGUAAAUAAACCUGCCUGGUGCUACUGCAGUAGGAGUCAGCGAGGUUUGCAGCGGGACUCGGCUGUUGCUAUAGGAAGCUGCUGUCAUCAUACCUCCAGGUUUUCUGAGUCAAUUCCCGAUUUUACAGCUAAAAUAAUACACAAACCUUUUUUACGUUAGUGAGCUUUAUUUAGGAAAUAAAUAAAAUGUUAAGAAAAUAUGAAUGAUUGUAAUAAAUACAGCACUUGUCAAAAUUGCACAGCUACGAAAAGCAUAAUAUUUUUAGGCAUAUUACUCCAGUGUGGUUAGAGGGUCUGGCACAUAACUGGAAAAAUAACUUUCUGUGCCUGAAAGAACAUUUUAAACACGGAAGAGAAAAAAACUAUGGGGCAGGGCAAAGAACAUCCAGUUCCUUCCCAAACAACCUUUGACAGAUAUUUGUUUAUGAAAUUUUUUUGUUUUCUGAAAUCUGAUACUUCAUCACAACUAAUUAUUUAAAAGGAUGCUGUCGAGAUAGAAAUGAGAGAUUGAAAAAUCUGUUCGUAAGUCAGCAGUCAGGCUGGAGGUUAGUUACAGCACAUGACAUUUCACCAGCUCUACCAGACAGCUGCUGUUUCCAUGGUUUGCAAAAUAUCAGUGGACAAACAGUUUCUCCUUUCCCUUCUCAUGCAGUGGGCACAAUAUUGUCUCUCAGUUUUGAGUUUUCAAGUGAGACAUGGGGAAUAUUGCAGAGGAAAAAUGAAUAUAGUUGCAUAAAAGCCUUUCACUCAUAAAUACACGCUUGCCUCUGUCUGCAAGAUCAGGCCUUGGGUUCGUGCACUACAGUCCCACUGGUCCUGGAGAAUGCCUUGCGGUCCUGGACGAGCAAGCUGUGCUGCUGGCAUGAGUUUGCUGGAAGUUCAGAAACUGCUGCACCAAAACCUGACUCCAGUGAUUUUGCCAAUCAGUUGUUAAGUAGGGAAUAAAGAGCAUGAUGCUUGCUGUUUUGGAGGAUAAGGUUUAGCAUUUGAACUUCAUACAUUUGCAAGCUUGACUUGAUUGUAAAAAUAGUCUCUAUUCAUUCCUUGCCUCUAUUUAAAAAAAAAAAAAAGGAUAAAAACAUUUCUAGUAGAUAUUUCCAUUUUAGCAUGU